UUUACAAUGGAGAGUUUGAUCCUGGCUCAGGAUGAACGCUAGCGGCAGGCUUAAUACAUGCAAGUCGUGGGGCAGCGCAGUGUAGCAAUACAUGGGCGGCGACCGGCAAACGGGUGCGGAACACGUACACAACCUUCCUUUUAGUGGAGCAUAGCCUAAGGAAACUUGGAUUAAUACUCCGUAACAUAAUGAAGUGGCAUCACUUUAUUAUUAUAGCAGCAAUGCGCUAGAAGACGGGUGUGCGGCUGAUUAGGUAGUUGGCGGGGUAACGGCCCACCAAGCCUACGAUCAGUAACUGGUGUGAGAGCACGACCAGUCACACGGGCACUGAGACACGGGCCCGACUCCUACGGGAGGCAGCAGUAAGGAAUAUUGGUCAAUGGA
rnacentral:rRNA from 1 species